rnacentral:rRNA from 1 species
UCGGAGGAAGGUGGGAUGACGUCAAAUCAUCAUGCCCCUUAUGACCUGGGCUACACACGUGCUACAAUGGGCGGUACAAAGGGCUGCGAACCCGCGAGGGGGAGCGAAUCCCAAAAAGACCGCUCUCAGUUCGGAUUGCAGGCUGCAACUCGCCUGCAUGAAGCCGGAAUCGCUAGUAAUCGCGGAUCAGCAUGCCGCGGUCGAAUACGUUCCGGGCCUU